rnacentral:tRNA from 1 species
GGAGAGGUGACCGAACGGCAAGGAGCCCGGUUGCUAGCCGGGUGAGCGAAAGCUCUGUGGGUUCGAAUCCCACCCUCUCCGCCA